rnacentral:rRNA from 1 species
GUACACUCCUGCGGGAGGCAGCAGUGGGGAAUAUUGGACAAUGGGCGCAAGCCUGAUCCAGCCAUGCCGCGUGAGUAAUGAAGGCCCUAGGGUUGUAAAGCUCUUUCACCGGUGAAGAUAAUGACGGUAACCGGAGAAGAAGCCCCGGCUAACUUCGUGCCAGCAGCCGCGGUAAUACGAAGGGGGCUAGCGUUGUUCGGAUUUACUGGGCGUAAAGCGCACGUAGGCGGACUAUUAAGUCAGGGGUGAAAUCCCGGGGCUCAACCCCGGAACUGCCUUUGAUACUGGUAGUCUUGAGUUCGAGAGAGGUGAGUGGAAUUCCGAGUGUAGAGGUGAAAUUCGUAGAUAUUCGGAGGAACACCAGUGGCGAAGGCGGCUCACUGGCUCGAUACUGACGCUGAGGUGCGAAAGCGUGGGGAGCAAACAGGAUUAGAAACCCGAGUAGUCCCA